GCUAAGGUUAAACUUGGCGGUCCAAUUUAAUCCUAUCACGGUGCUCUUAAUUGAGUGUCGAGGUAGGCCUGUACAUUUACUUUGAACAAAUUAGAGUGCUUAAAGCAGGCUUAUUUCGCCUGAAUACUGUGUGCAUGGAAUAAUAGAAUAGGACCUCGCUUCUAUUUUGUUGGUUUUCGGAAUACCGAGGUAAUGAUUAAUGGGGACAGAUGGGGGCAUUCGUAUUGUGACGUUAGAGGUGAAAUUCUUGGAUCGUCGCAAGACGAACAGAAGCGAAAGCAUUUGCCAAAAAUGUUUUCAUUAAUCAAGAACGAAAGUUAGAGGUUCGAAGGCGAUCNGGUCCAAUUUAAUCCUAUCGCGGUGCUCUUAAUUGAGUGUCGAGGUAGGCCGGUACGUUUACUUUGAACAAAUUAGAGUGCUUAAAGCAGGCUUAUUUUGCCUGAAUACUGUGUGCAUGGAAUAAUAGAAUAGGACCUCGGUUCUAUUUUGUUGGUUUUCGGAAUACCGAGGUAAUGAUUAAUAGGGACAGAUGGGGGCAUUCGUAUUGCGACGUUAGAGGUGAAAUUCUUGGAUCGUCGCAAGACGAACAGAAGCGAAAGCAUUUGCCAAAAAUGUUUUCAUUAAUCAAGAACGAAAGUUAGAGGUUCGAAGGCGAUCAGAUACCGCCCUAGUUCUAACCAUAAACGAUGCCAGCUAGAAAUCCGCCGAUGUUCUUCUUAUGACUCAGCGGGCAGCUUCCGGGAAACCAAAGCUUUUGGGUUCCGGGGGAAGUAUGGUUGCGAAGCUGAAACUUAAAGGAAUUGACGAAAGGGCACCACCAGGAGUGGAGCCUGCGGCUUAAUUUGACUCAACACGGGAAACCUCACCAGGCCCGGACACCGGAAGGAUUGACAGAUUAAUAGCUCUUUCUUGAUUUGGUGGGUGGUGGUGCAUAGCCGUUCUUAGUUGGUGUAGCGAUUUGCNAUUCGGUGGGUGGUGGUGCAUGGCCGUUCUUAGUUGGUGGAGCGAUUUGUCUGGUUAAUUCCGAUAACGAACGAGACUCUAGCCUGCUAAAUAGGCGUUUUUGGUAUCUUGAAAGAUUUACUUGAUUUUCGGAUCAAGUGAUUUUUACUACCAACGUAAAUAAAUAUCUUCUUAGAGGGACAGGCGGCUUCUAGCCGCACGAGAUUGAGCAAUAACAGGUCUGUGAUGCCCUUAGAUGUUCUGGGCCGCACGCGCGCUACACUGAAAGAAUCAACGUGUCUUCCCUGGCCGAAAGGCCCGGGUAACCCGCUGAACCUCUUUCGUGCUAGGGAUUGGGGCUUGCAAUUAUUCCCCAUGAACGAGGAAUUCCCAGUAAGCACGAGUCAUAAGCUCGUGUUGAUUACGUCUCUGCCCUUUGUACACACCGCCCGUCGCUACUACCGAUUGAAUGAUUUAGUGAGGUCUUCGGACUGAUGUGUGGCAAUGUUUCGGCAUUGCCGAUGUUGUUGAAAAGAUGACCAAACUUGAUUAUUUAGAGGAAGUAAAAGUCGUAACAAGGUUU
rnacentral:rRNA from 1 species